rnacentral:rRNA from 1 species
AGAGUUUGAUCCUGGCUCAGGAUGAACGCUAGCGAUAGGCUUAACACAUGCAAGUCGAGGGGCAUCACGAGGUAGCAAUACUUUGGUGGCGACCGGCGUACGGGUGCGUAACACGUAUGCAACCUUCCUGUAAGUGUGGGAUAGCCUCCUGAAAGGGAGAUUAAUACCUCAUGAUAUGUAUUUGCUGCAUGGCAUUUACAUUAAACAUUUAUGGCUUACAGAUGGGCAUGCGUUCCAUUAGGCAGUUGGUGUGGUAACGGCUCACCAAACCUACGAUGGAUAGGGGUUCUGAGAGGAAGGUCCCCCACACUGGAACUGAGACACGGUCCAGACUCCUACGGGAGGCAGCAGUGAGGAAUAUUGGUCAAUGGGCGCGAGCCUGAACCAGCCACGUCGCGUGAAGGAUGACGGCCUUAUGGGUUGUAAACUUCUUUUACAGGGGAAUAAAGUGAGUCACGUGUGAUUUUUUGCAUGUACCCUGUGAAUAAGCAUCGGCUAACUCCGUGCCAGCAGCCGCGGUAAUACGUAGGGGGCGAGCGUUGUCCGGAUUUACUGGGCGUAAAGGGUGAGUAGGCGGUUAUAUAUGUCAGGUGUAAAAAGCUAUGGCUUAACCAUAGUAAGCACUUGAAACUGUAUGACUUGAGUGCAGGAGAGGUAAGCGGAAUUCCUAGUGUAGCGGUGAAAUGCGUAGAUAUUAGGAGGAACACCGGUGGCGAAGGCGGCUUACUGGACUGUAACUGACGCUGAGUCACGAAAGCGUGGGUAGCAAACAGGAUUAGAUACCCUGAUAGUCCACGCUGUAAACGAUGAGUGCUAGGUGUUGGGUAGCGAUAUUCAGUGCCGGAGUAAACACAAUAAGCACUCCGCCUGGGGAGUACGGUCGCAAGACUGAAACUCAAGGAAUUGACGG